AAAAACGGUCCAAAAUGACGGAGGAAAAGGUAAGAAUGGAUAAAAACACAUUUUGAUAUUGAACACUGGAUGAAUAGUCAUUAUUUGUGUACAUUAAAUCAAGUAAGUGUGGUUUAUUAACCAGUAAUGUCUGCUGUAACGAUAGCGAUUGUAACAGCAAGCAAGAUUUUUUUCCUUUUUUUCUUUUAUUUAUUUGUACAGGUUAUAACAUUGACAAUAUAACAUUGUCUCAUUUUCAACAAAGAAACGUAUAAGAUAAACUUUAUGCUCUUUAUAUAUUAGUAUUUAUCUGUUUUUUAAUCUUUAAAUGACUCUGAGAAGUUGCACACAGUUUUGCUCAUUUGAAAACUUGUGACCUCAGUUGUACAAUUGUUAAGAUAAAAGAUUUGUUGAUGAAUAAUAUUUUUCAUGUUUAGAGAUUAAAAAUUCUGUUGAAUCACGGUCAACAGUGUCAUUUGAUUUGAUCUGAUUUCAGUUAGCCUUGUUAACCUUUCCUGCUUUUGUCUCCUGACCGUGGUCGGGGAACGCAGGGGAGAUCUAUAUUCUCCAGGGCCGGAGGUAGCGUUCGUUUCCGGGGUUAACUCCCGAGACUUCUUACUCCACAGUUGUUAUGUGGUGGCAGACAAAUGACAGGCCGUUUGUUUGCUGAAGAGAAUCCGGGUUUAUUAGCUGAUUGCACGGUAACAUCCAACUCUCUCUCCCUCCCUGCUCCGGUCGCCGUCUUCACCAUUCAUUCAGCCGCACACACGUAAAAAUGUAAACAAUAACACACCCGUCUUCCGCGUCGCGGGCUCGCUCACGCGCCGCCCCUCGGCCCCGCGCACAUACUCACAUUCACACACUGAGCUGCCUGGGUUACACAUUAGUGUUAGACACAUCCCACAACAGCCUGCUUAUAUUUUAGGACAGGGAAAGUCUUACAGGCAAAUGCAGUCCAGGUCAUUACUACUUGAUUCUGGAUUAAAAAUGUUCCCAUGUUAAAAAUACAAAAUACAAUUUUAUUUGACAUUUUCUCUUAUAGAGCAACACUACGUUCAGUGAAGGAUGAGACCCUGAGCUGAGGAGAUGUGAUUGUGCCAAACAAAGUGGAGCUUGUGUCUCAUCUGCAGGGACAGCGACGGUCAAGUGUAGAGUACGGUGGAUACAGUGUCUACAAAUGCCUCCUUGACUGUGUGCAAAGCCAUGAUCACUGUGGCUUUGUGAAAAAUGUUGUGUCUGUCAGUUUAAACUCUGCUGCAAGACAGCAACCACAAAUAUUACUGCAACUGUGGCGUCCACGGUGACUCCGGCGUCCACGGUGACUCCAGAGUCCACGGUGACUCCGGCGUCCACGGUGACUCCGGCGUCCACGGUGACUCCGGCGUCCACGGUGACUCCAGAGUCCACGGUGACUCCGGCGUCCACGGUGACUGUGGCGUCCACAGCAGACCAUCAGAAAUAAACAUGUGCCAGAGGACACUGAGGACCAUCCCUACAGCAAAGACAUUUCUUUCACACAUCAUCAACCACACAGAUCCUGACUCUCUCAGUCAGGCUUAUGUGUGUGAGCAUUUAGAGCAGUGAUGUUACUGUGGCCAGACAAGAGGACACGUCUUCAAAGAGAGGAAGUGCAAAUGAUCA